GAUUUCUGGUUUGACAUGCCUGGCCCGCCGGGGUCACCUGUGUGAGUGCCGGUGCGCGUCUACCAUCCUUCUGCAGAACGGCCUUACCCUUCACUGGGCCGAGGUCGCGAUGCAGAUCUUUUACUUUGAAAAAAUUAGAGUGUUUAAAGCAGGCUUGCGCUAUGAAUACAUUAGCAUGGAAUAAUAAUUUAGGACUUUGGUCUUAUUUUGUUGGUUUCUAGGACUAAAGUAAUGAUUGAUAGGGACAGUUGGGGGUGCUAGUAUUCAGCGGCCAGAGGUGAAAUUCUUGGAUUCGCUGAAGACUAACUUAUGCGAAAGCAUU
rnacentral:rRNA from 1 species